GUUGUCGUGGCCGAGUGGUUAAGGCGAUGGACUAGAAAUCUUUGGGAUCUUCCCGCGCAGGUUCGAAUCCUGCCGACAUCG
rnacentral:tRNA from 1 species